GGAGAAACUUGUUAUUUUCCACAAUACGGGUACGUAGAAUCUGUAUAACAGAACAACAACUUCAACUCGUGUUCAAGUAUGAACGAGAACACAAUGAAGUUUUAAAUACCCUCAACACAAGAUCAAAAGGACCUUUCCAAGAGGUAUAUUUAUUUUUCAGAAAAUAAAGAUGAAACAGAAAUAGCUAAGGCCAAGUCGUCCGAAUUCACGGACUUUCCUUAAGAAAUAAUUCCCCUCACUGUACCCGAGGUUAUGGAAUCUUCCUCCCAGGAUAAAAUGGCCUUCAAUCCGACUAUAGCGGUACCUCAAAUAGGCGGAUUCUUCGAGCACACUCACAGUUUGAAUGAUCACACUUAGAGUAUUUUUAAGACAAAAAGAAUGUUUUUUUAAUCUGAAAAUUUAUGUACCAAAACCUGUAAAUGAAAGCAGGUUUUUAUAGCCAAAUGAUGCCUCUUCUGAAAAGAGACAAAGGUUCAUCUAAAAGGUACUACCUUUUCUGAAAAUUCAUGUCCAUUUGGCCAAACAGUGGGACUGUUCUUGAACAGGCAUGUCAUUUCGUGAAUAAGUGUGUCAGUUCAAUGAAGUGUUGCAGCAAUUCGUGAAGCAGUGCAACUGUUCACGUAAAAUAGUGCUACUGUUCAUGGAACAGUGCUACUGUUCACGGAACUGCUGAUUACUGCAUUACUGUAUAUAUAUUUAAAUGGAGUUUCAAACACUUUUCGGAUUUUAUUUCUGUCAAAUAAAAUUUGUCCAAAAAGAAAGAUCUAAUCGAUCGAUCAUUUGACCAAAUCUGAAUUCGAGCCGAGCGACGACGACGGCGCGAUGCAUCACCUAGUUCUUGCCUCACUAUCCAUGUGGAGUUGGUGUUCAUUAAUAUAAACACUACAAAGUUCUAUUCUCCCACCAAUGUGGGAGAAUUUGUGAACUUUCUAAUUUUGGGAGUACUCUUUCCAAAUUGGUAUCUCCUCUUCUCCACCAUUUUUCUCUCCAUUUUUCCAUUCACACUUCAUCCAUAUACUAUGAACCCAACAAUCCCCCACAUGAAUGGAGAAUGGCUAUUUUUCAUAAAACUUUUACGGACAAGUAUGUGAUCAUCAAGCAAAGACUAAAGACUGAUUGCAUCUGGAUAAGUGGGUGGAUUUCCCUUUGAACUUUCCAUAGUGAACAUGCAUCGGAUGCACUCGGUCAAUCGGUAGAUUUGAUAUCUUUGAACCGUCGAGCUUUAAUGUACACCUAGACAACACAUGUCACACAACCAGCUUUUUACAGUUUAUGGUUCUUUCGGUUUUGUUCUUUUCAGGCAUGAACACGUCCCGAUUUUCAUGAGAGCUUAGAGAAUAGGCCUUUACUAACAUACUCUUUGAAGAGGCUUCCACUUCGCCCACACAUAGGUGAUUUCUAAACGUUCAAUCCUGUAGAUUAAACUAUUUGGUCAAAUCUGUCAAAUUUAAAUAAUCAUUAAAAGACUUUUCGCCUUAAGACUUAUCCUUGUUUACUAUACAUUGUCUACAUCAUGAGAAUGGGUUGGGUAAUUGACAAUGUUGAACAUGUCAGACAUAACUUUGUUUGAUCUUCUUGAACCUAACUCUUGGGAUCUCCAGUCUGCUAGAUAGAGUUACCGCCAUGCUAACUUGUCCUAGGCCUUAAACCCAUUUCCUUGGAUGUCCUUUCUACUCCUACUCUAGAUAGGCCUUUUGUAAGUGGAUCCGACAUAUUAUCCUUUGAAUUUACAUAGUCUACAGUGAUAAUUCCACUAGAGAGAAGUUCUCUAACGGUAUUAUGUCUUNNNNNNNNNNNNNNNNNNNNNNNNNNNNNNNNNNNNNNNNNNNNNNNNNNNNNNNNNNNNNNNNNNNNNNNNNNNNNNNNNNNNNNNNNNNNNNNNNNNNNNNNNNNNNNNNNNNNNNNNNNNNNNNNNNNNNNNNNNNNNNNNNNNNNNNNNNNNNNNNNNNNNNNNNNNNNNNNNNNNNNNNNNNNNNNNNNNNNNNNNNNNNNNNNNNNNNNNNNNNNNNNNNNNNNNNNNNACUGCUCCUCCACCGAUAGUAAAUACAUAUCCACUUGUGGAUUUUACUUCGUUCGAUCCAGUGAUCCAAUUUGCAUCACUAUAUCCUUCAAGUACCGCAGGAUAUUUAUUAUAAUGCAAAGCAUAAUUUUAAGUGUAUUUAAGAUACCCCAGAACUCUUUUCAUAUCCAGUGAAUUUUGUUGGGAUUACUCGUGUACUGACUCAAUUUACUGAUAGCGCAUGUUAUGUCUGGUCAUGUACAAUUCAUUAUAUACAUUAAACAUCUCAAUACUCUUGCGUACUCCAAUUGCGAGUCACUUUCACCUUCAUUCUUUUAAAGUGCAAAGCGCGCAUCCAAUGGAGUCUUGGCAAUACCAAAUUUCAUAUACUUGAACUUGUCAAGUACCUUUUCGAUAUAAUGAGACUGUGACAAUGCCAACCCUUGUGGAGUUCGAUGGAUUCUUAUACCUAAGAUCACAUCUGCAACUUCAAGGUCCUUUAUAUCAAACUUGCUCUCGAGCAUUCGUUUUGUUGCAUUUAUGUCAGAAAUGUCUCUACUGAUGAUCAACAUAUCAGCCACAUAUAAGCAAACAAUGACUUGGUGAUUUGGUGUAUCUUUAAUAUAUACACAUUUAUAACAUUCAUUUAUUUUGAUUCCGUUUGCCAACAUGGUUUGAUCAAACUUCGCAUGCCAUUGCUAAGGUGCUUGUUUUAGUCCAUAAAGUGACUUAACAAGUUUACACACCUUAUUUUUUUUCCUGAAACCACAAAACCCUCAGGUUGUUCCAAGUAUAUUUCUUCCUCCAAUCUCCAUUUAGGAAUGCGGUCUUCACAUCCAUUUGAUGAAUUUGAAGAUCAUAUACCACCGCCAAGGCAAUUAACAUUCGAAUCGAGGUUAUCUUUGUUACUGGCGAGUAUGUAUCAAAGUAAUCAAGGCCUUCCUUCUGUUUGAAGACUUUUACUACAUGUCUUGCCUUGUAUUUGUCAAUAGUACCAUCCACCUUCAUUUUCCUUUUGAAGAUCCAUUUAGAACCUAAAGGUUUAUUUCCGGAAGAAAGGUCAACCAAUUCCCAUAUAUGGUUGCUUAAGAUUGAAUCUAUCUCACUAUUGACUGCCUUUUUCCAAAAGGAUGAAUCCCAAGAUGUCAUCGCUUCCCUAAAUGUUUAAGGCUCAUUUUCUAAGAGAAAUGUUACAAAAUCCGAUCCAAACAAAGUUGACGUUCUUUGACGUAUACUACGUCUUGAAUUUUCUUCAUUAUGUACAUUCUCACUUGGUCGUUUAGAUCCUCCACUAGACUGUUCAUGUCUAAUUUUAUACGGGUAAAUGUUUUCAAAGAAUUCAACAUCAUCUGAUUCAAUUACCGUAUUUUCAUUUAUAUCCGGAUGUUCGGAUUUAUGAACCAAAAAUCGACAUGCUUUACUACUUUUAGCAUACCCUAUGAACACGCAGUCCACCGUUUUAGGUCCUAUCUUAACCCUUUUAGGUAUAGGAACUUGAACCUCCGCUAGACACCCGCACACUUUGAAAUAUUUCAAGUUAGAUUUCCUUCCUUUCCUGUUUUGGUAAGGAAUUAAUUGUGUCUUACUGUGGGAAACUCUGUUGAGUAUAUGAUUGGCCGUAAGGAUAGCCUCCCCCCAUAAGUUUUGUGGUAAACCAGAACAUAUAAGUAAGGCAUUCAUCAUUUCCUUCAAAGUUCGAUUUUUCCAUUCCGCAAUUCCAUUAGAUAGAGGUGAAUACGGGGCCGUAGUUUGAAGGAUGAUUCCAUUCUCUACACAUAUUUGCGCAAAGGGAGAUUCAUAUUCUCCGCCCCUAUCACUUCUUAUCAUUUUAUCAUUUUGAUCUUUUUGUCUAACUAAUUUUCAACUUCAGUUUUAUAUUGCCUAAACGCAUCUAUUGCUUCAUCCUUACUAUUUAGUAAGUAGACAUAACAGUAUCUAGUGCAAUCGUCAAUAAAAGUUAUGAAAUACUUUUUCCCACCACGAGAUAGUGUUGACUUCAUAUCACAAAUGUCAGUGCGUAUUAAAUCUAAAGGAUUGGAAUUCCUUUCAACGGAAUUAUAAGGAUGCUUUGCAUACUUCGAUUCUACACACGUUUGACACUUUGAUUGAUUGCACUCAAAGUUUGGCAAAACUUCUAAGUUAAUCAGUUUUCGUAGCGUUUUGUAAUUAACAUGGCCCAAACGUUCAUGCCAUAAAUCAUAAGACUCAAGCAAAUAAGACGAAUUCGAACUUUUAUUCAUUUCAACAGUCAUUACAUUCAUCUUAUGAAGGCCCUCCGUGAGAUAGCCUUUUCCUACAUACAUUUCUCCUUUGCUAACUACAAUUUUUCCAGAAACGGUUACACAUUUGAAUCCGUUCUUAUCUAGGAGUGAAACAGAAAUUAAGUUCCUACGUAACUCCGGAACAUAUAACACAUUGUUCAGUGUCAAGACCUUGCCGGAAGUCAUCUUUAGGGAAAUUUUUCCUGUUCCCUCCACCUCCACCUUAGCAGUAGCAGAGUUAGCCAUGUAAAGCAUUUCUUCUGCUUAAGCUGGAGCAAAUGACGAGAACAACUCUUUGUUUGCGCAAACAUGGUGUGUGGCACCAGAAUCCAUCCACCAUUCGCGUGGAUUCCCCACCAAGUUCCGUGAACAUAGCACACAGAUCAUCAUAAUCUUUGUUGGACUCAAUCAGAUUCGCUUGGUCCUUUUUCUUCCCUUUCUUCGGGGCUCGACAGUCUGUGGACUUGUGGCCAAUUUUGCCACAGUUGAAGCAUUUUCCCUUGACCUUUUUCUUGGGUUGAUUGCUUCCAUGUUCAACUUUCUUUCUUUUCUUCGAGUUGUUUUGGCCAUCUUCUACAAUAUGUGCUCCAUUCAUUGUAGAAUUUCCCUUUGACCAUCUUUCAGAAGCUUUAUUGUCCUCUUCAAUAUGAAGUCGAACAAUAAGAUCUUCAACGGUCAUGUCCUUGCAUUUAUGCUUUAAGUAGUUUUUGAAGUCUUUCCACAAAGGUGGUAGCUUCUCAACUAUCGCUGCUACUUGUAAAGCAUCAUUCACAAUUAAACCUUCUGCUAGAAGAUCAUGUAUAAUGACUUGCAACUCCUGUACUUGAGAGACAACAGAUUUGCUAUCAAUCAUUUUGAAGUCCAGGAACCGUGCAACAAGGAAUUUCUUAAUUCCCGCAUCCUCCGUUUUAUAUUUCCGUUCAAGUGCCCCCCACAGUUCCUUUGAUGUCUUGGUUCCACUAUAGACAUUUUAGAGAUCGUCUUGGAGACCACUUAGAAUAUAGUUCCUGCAAAGGAAAUCCAAAUGUUUCCAAGCUUCUACAAUAACGAAGCGGUCUUUGUUUGAGGUUCCCUCGGGCACCUCAGGAGCGUCUUCGCUAGUGAACCGUUGUAGACAUAGAGUGGUGAGGUAAAAGAACAUUUUUUGUUGCCACCGCUUGAAGUCAAUGCCAGAAAAUUUUCCGGCCUUCUCCACCGAUGCCAUCAUUGGCGGAGCAUUUGUGCGACUUGAUGUAGCAAUAUUAUUUGCCCCCACAGACGUCGCAUCCAUCAUUUGACUUUCAGUUGUCAUUUUUUCUAUCACCACAAGACAGAAAACUUAGUGUUUUUCAGAAUACUAUUUAUAAAGUUAAAUAACUUGAAACAAUUCUUCUUGUUUCUAGUUAACGAUGAAGUUUUUAUUACUUCGAAGCGUCAACCAAAUGAACCUUAACUUGUGAUGAAGAUUUUAUGUCUUCUAAUCACUAGUUAAAUUCAAGCGGAGUAGAAAGCCUAAGCUUUAAUCUCCAAAAACAAGCAAUACAGAUUCUGUAAAAUUAUUCCUUAAGAUUGUUAUUUUCCACAAUACGGGUACAUAGAAUCUGUAUAACAGAACAACAACUUCAACUCGUGUUCAAGUAUGAACAAGAACACAAUGAAGUUUUAAAUACCCUCAACACAAGAUCAAAAGGACCUUUCUAUGAGGUAUAUUUAUUUUUCAGAAAAUAAAGAUGAAACAGAAAUAGCUAAGGCCAAGUCAUCCGAAUUCACGGACUUUCCUUAAGGAAUAAUUCCCCUCACUGUACCCGAGGUUAUGGAAUCUUCCUCCCAAGAUAAAAUGGCCUUCAAUCCGACUAUAGCGGUACCUCAAAUAAGCGGAUUCUUUGAACACACUCACGGUUUGAAUGAUCACACUUGUAUUUUUAAGACAAGAAGAAUGUUUUUUUAAUCUGAAAAUUUCUGUACCAAAACCUGUGAAUGAAAGCAGGUUUUUAUAGCCAAAUAAUGUCUCUUCUGAAAAGAGACAAAGGUUCAUCUAAAAG
rnacentral:lncRNA from 1 species